rnacentral:rRNA from 1 species
GACGAACGCUGGCGGCGUGCUUAACACAUGCAAGUCGAACGGAAAGGCCCUGCUUUUGUGGGGUGCUCGAGUGGCGAACGGGUGAGUAACACGUGAGUAACCUGCCCUUGACUUUGGGAUAACUUCAGGAAACUGGGGCUAAUACCGGAUAGGAGCUCCUGCUGCAUGGUGGGGGUUGGAAAGUUUCGGCGGUUGGGGAUGGACUCGCGGCUUAUCAGCUUGUUGGUGGGGUAGUGGCUUACCAAGGCUUUGACGGGUAGCCGGCCUGAGAGGGUGACCGGCCACAUUGGGACUGAGAUACGGCCCAGACUCCUACGGGAGGCAGCAGUGGGGAAUAUUGCACAAUGGGCGGAAGCCGGAUGCAGCAACGCCGCGUGCGGGAUGACGGCUUUCGGGUUGUAAACCGCUUUCGCCUGUGACGAAGCGUGAGUGACGGUAAUGGGUAAAGAAGCACCGGCUAACUACGUG